GCUGGCUGACAUUUUCCUGCCCGGAAGGAUGCAUGGCCCGGGGUCUCCUGCACCUGAGGGUGGGCGGGAGGCGGCCCCGCGGGUUGUGUUGCUGGAAAAAGGGGUCUCGAUCCAGACCCCAAGAGAGGGUUCUUGGGUCUACUUCAGGGAAGAAUUGGAGGCGAGUCACAGAGCGCAGUGAAGGAAGCAAGUUUAUUGGAAUCUACUCCGUUAGAGAGUGCAAGUCCUCAGACUGCAGGAGGAGGAACUCCCGUCCUUCGGUAGUGUCACUACUUAGAGGCAGCUGUGAGGAGCUGUGAUUAAUCGUGGAAUGUGCUGAUGUGCCCACUAAAGAUGCCUGGUAAGCAGUGGCUCCUCUAACAAGUGGGCAGCUUGGAACUGGGAACGAGAGAGCCACCGAAACAGAAUGAGGGAGACAAAGAAGUGGGCAUCACCCUUAACUCCACAAGGGCUUCCCAAGGGCGCUGUACCGUACGCAGGCCCAGGACGAACUUUAUUUCUCGCCCCAGCAUCGCUGUCCUUGUCGGUGAGACCCUGGCUUUAGGGCAGACAGGACCACGUUUCAUAAGUUCAUGCUGUCCCAGCAGAGGAAUAACGCCAGAAAGUGUUCCAGUACAACCAGAGAAAGAGAGUCCAUGAGAAAUCUGCCCUUGUGAAGUUGGAAUCCCCUCAACCUCACCCCGCUGACUUGAAUGAAGCGACUGAGACGGGCUAUGAUGGAGCAGAUCCGGUUGCUCGACCUUCUCCCUUGCACCAACACAUGUAGUUAAUAGUUACUGGACAUGCAUAUUCAGUGGGUUCCAGGUACCAAACUUGUAUUGAAUGGUAUGUGCCAGACACCGUCUUGAGAUCUGGAGAAUAAAAAAAUAAAAAAAUAAAAACGAGACAUCCAGAGCACAGUAGCCUUGCGGUCUUCCUGGAACUAGAGAAAAUUCAGCCCUUCUGCUCCUUGGGAAGCUAUGUUUGGGAAAAAAAAAAAAAGAGAGAGAGAGAGACACCAAGCCUGAGUACUUUUUGUAUUUUUUGUAGAGAUGGGGUUUUGCCACAUUGCUCAGACUGGUCUCAACUGAUCAGCUCACUUCGGCCUCCCAAAGUGCUAGGAUUACAGGCAUGAGCCAUUGUGCUGGGCCUUUUUCUGGUUAUUUUCUCCCUGCCCACUAGAAUGUGAGUUCCAUAAGGGCAGGGCUGAAAGUUUUGUUGCUUUUUGCUACCGCUACUAUUUUUCAAGAAUUUGUAACCAGUGUACUUUGUGCGAGUACCUAGCACAUAGUAGCUGUUCAAUAAAUAUUUACUGAGUACAGCUAAUGAAUACUGAAUUACCGUGAAUAUUUUAAAUAAUUACUUGCUUUGUAAAGAAAUCUAUUUCUUCUCUCUGCCCAACUGCUGCUGCAUCGCCAUCACAGACACCAGCCAUGUGCAGCCUAUCUAGCUAGCCAGGGUCACCAAGGUCCUGGGCAGAACCAGCUCUCAGGGACAGUGCAUGCGGGAAUUUAUGGAAGACACAAGCCACUCCAUCAUCCACAGUGUAAAAGACCCCAUGCGCAAGGGCUAUGUGCUCACCCUGUUGGAGUCAGAGCGAGAGGCCUGGAGGUUGCACUGAGCUUGGCUGCUCACUGGGUCUUGGAUGUUGGGUUCGACCACUUGGUCCAUGAGAAUGCUGUGCCAUGAUCUGCUCCUUUAUUUUAUUUGCCAGCCGCACAGGAAUUGAGAUAUGCAUUUAAAUAAAGUGUUUGUGUGCCAAAUUAGAAAGAAAAGAAAGGAAAGAGACAAAGAAAGAAGAGAGAGAGAAAGAAAGAAAGAGAGAAAAAGAAAGGAAGGAAGGAAAAAAGGAGGGAGGAGAGAAGGAAGGAAAUCUUUUUUUAAAUUAUUAU
rnacentral:lncRNA from 10 species